UAAAAUUAUUAGGUUAGUGCAAAAAUAAUUGCGGUUUUUGUCAUUACUUUCAAUGGCAUAAACUGUAAUUACUUUUGCACCAACCUAAUAUUU
ensembl:miRNA